rnacentral:tRNA from 1 species
GCCUGGGUGGCUCAUUUGGUGAAGCGUCUGACUUCAGCUCAGGUCAUCAUCUCACAGUCUGUGAGUUCGAGCCCCUCAUCAGGCU